rnacentral:rRNA from 1 species
GAUGAACGCUGGCGGCGUGCCUAAUACAUGCAAGUCGAGCGAACGGACGAGAAGCUUGCUUCUCUGAUGUUAGCGGCGGACGGGUGAGUAACACGUGGAUAACCUACCUAUAAGACUGGGAUAACUUCGGGAAACCGGAGCUAAUACCGGAUAAUAUUUUGAACCGCAUGGUUCAAAAGUGAAAGACGGUCUUGCUGUCACUUAUAGAUGGAUCCGCGCUGCAUUAGCUAGUUGGUAAGGUAACGGCUUACCAAGGCAACGAUGCAUAGCCGACCUGAGAGGGUGAUCGGCCACACUGGAACUGAGACACGGUCCAGACUCCUACGGGAGGCAGCAGUAGGGAAUCUUCCGCAAUGGGCGAAAGCCUGACGGAGCAACGCCGCGUGAGUGAUGAAGGUCUUCGGAUCGUAAAACUCUGUUAUUAGGGAAGAACAUAUGUGUAAGUAACUGUGCACAUCUUGACGGUACCUAAUCAGAAAGCCACGGCUAACUACGUGCCAGCAGCCGCGGUAAUACGUAGGUGGCAAGCGUUAUCCGGAAUUAUUGGGCGUAAAGCGCGCGUAGGCGGUUUUUUAAGUCUGAUGUGAAAGCCCACGGCUCAACCGUGGAGGGUCAUUGGAAACUGGAAAACUUGAGUGCAGAAGAGGAAAGUGGAAUUCCAUGUGUAGCGGUGAAAUGCGCAGAGAUAUGGAGGGACACCAGUGGCGAAGGCGACUUUCUGGUCUGUAACUGACGCUGAUGUGCGAAAGCGUGGGGAUCAAACAGGAUUAGAUACCCUGGUAGUCCACGCCGUAAACGAUGAGUGCUAAGUGUUAGGGGGUUUCCGCCCCUUAGUGCUGCAGCUAACGCAUUAAGCACUCCGCCUGGGGAGUACGACCGCAAGGUUGAAACUCAAAGGAAUUGACGGGGACCCGCACAAGCGGUGGAGCAUGUGGUUUAAUUCGAAGCAACGCGAAGAACCUUACCAAAUCUUGACAUCCUUUGACAACUCUAGAGAUAGAGCCUUCCCCUUCGGGGGACAAAGUGACAGGUGGUGCAUGGUUGUCGUCAGCUCGUGUCGUGAGAUGUUGGGUUAAGUCCCGCAACGAGCGCAACCCUUAAGCUUAGUUGCCAUCAUUAAGUUGGGCACUCUAAGUUGACUGCCGGUGACAAACCGGAGGAAGGUGGGGAUGACGUCAAAUCAUCAUGCCCCUUAUGAUUUGGGCUACACACGUGCUACAAUGGACAAUACAAAGGGCAGCGAAACCGCGAGGUCAAGCAAAUCCCAUAAAGUUGUUCUCAGUUCGGAUUGUAGUCUGCAACUCGACUACAUGAAGCUGGAAUCGCUAGUGAUCGUAGAUCAGCAUGCUACGGUGAAUACGUUCCCGGGUCU